UACGGAGGGGGCAAGCGUUGUUCGGAUUUACUGGGCGUAAAGGGUGUGUAGGCGGCUGGAUAAGUCUGGCGUGAAAUCUUCACCGCUUAACGGGAAGGGGUCGCUGGAAACUGUUCAGCUUGAGUAUGGUAGAGGCAAGCGGAAUUCCUGGUGUAGCGGUGGAAUGUGUAGAUAUCAGGAAGAACACCGGUGGCGAAGGCGGCUUGCUGGGCCAUCACUGACGCUGAGACACGAAAGCGUGGGGAGCAAACGGGAUUAGAUACCCCGGUAGUCCACGCUGUAAACGGUGCGCACUAGGUGUGGGGGGUAUCGACUCCUCCCGUGCCGACGUUAACACAUUAAGUGCGCCGCCUGGGGAGUACGGCCGCAAGGUUGAA
rnacentral:rRNA from 1 species